rnacentral:lncRNA from 1 species
UCUUAUCUGUGUAAGCGUUUUGCUUCCAUGGUUCACACCAAGUUCUCUACGCCUAUUCUUGUAUAUUGUGAUGACUCUGGUCGAGAAUAAAUAUCCAAGAUGUUGCGUUCAAUCCUUGUUGUGGAGGGUGGUCUUGCUCGGUUCUCUUAUCCUGGUGCUCAUACUCAGAAAUGGCAUGGCUGAGGGCAAGCAUCAUCAACUAUUGAGACGACUCGUAGGUUCAAUGUCACUGCUCUCUCUUCCGGCACACGUUUGGAUGGUCACUACCUCACUUACGCCACACUUUUGGGUUGAAUGUGUCUCCACUUCCACCAUGGUCAUCUCCUUUCGAGAGUCUAUUUGAUCGUUUCCAUAUUAUUCAGCGCUUCAAUUGUUUGGUUGUGUUUGAUGUGCCCUUACUGCCUGUCAUGAAUGUACCAAACUUACUACUUAGUCUGUUGAGUGUUCAUAGGAUACAACGAUGAGCAUAAGAGAUAAUGUUGUUAGGAUCAUGUUGGUCAUCGGGUGACUAUUUCUCACGGUAUGACUUUUGAUGAGUCCCGGCCCUUCUACGUGUGACCAUCUUCCCCGGCCUUUUCAGUGGAGGAUAUUUGUUACCUCACUUUUCCCGACACUCCUAUCACCAUUGUUGAGCCCUAGUCCAUUCCUCGUACUGCUCCUACUUCUCCAAUUAUUCCAGAUUCAGCACCAUCAUCUCCUAUGAUCUCCUCACCUCACUUAUCAUGGGAUCCUAAACCUUCAUCACCGGUGACUUCCUUGCCUCCAUAACCUGAGUUUAUCUCAAUGAUUCUUGAGCCGACUUCUUAUUGUGAUGUUGUUGUUCAUCCAAAAUGGCAGUUUGCGAUAGCAAAGGAGAUUGUUGCUCUUGAGCGCAGCAGCACCUGGGGUCUUGUUUCUCUUCCUCUUUGUGUUCGUCCCGUCACAUGUUAAGACUCGCUCUGAUGGUUAUGUUCAGCGUUACAAAGCUCGUCUUAUGGCUCGUGGCUUUUUGCUCACGUGAACCAUAUGACCAUUUUUUGCACAUUCGCCAUUGUUCUAUAUCUCAACUUGAUGUUAAGAAUGUCUUUCUUAAUGGAGAGCUAUGCGAGGAGCUUUACAUGCAGCCACCACCUAGGUAUUAUGUUCCGUACGACAUGAUUUGUCGUGUUCGUCACUCUCCAUGGCCGGAAGCAAGCCCUCUUGUCUGCUUUGAGCGUUUUGCUCUGCGGUGUUUGUCGUUGGUUUCAGCGAGUACUCAUGAUUUGUUGUUGAUCCACCUUUCUGCUCUUGGUCGUACUCUUCUAUAAGUUGAUGACAUGUUCACCACUAGCAAAGAGACUAAGUAUAUUGCCUUUGUGAAGGCACAUAUUAGUGAGCAGUUUCUUAUGUCUAAUAUUGGCCCACUUUGUUACUUUCUUUUGGAUCAAGGUCUCUUGUUGGUGAAGAAAAGUAAUCCUAGAUCUUCUUGCUCGUGCUGCUCUUACUGUGUUUCUCUUAAUGAUGAGUGCAUCAUUGACUCCCAUGUAGCUCAAUAUUCAUCUUCGUGCUACUGAUGGUGACCCUUUGUCUGCUUUGACACGUUAUCGUCAUCUUGUUGGGAAUCUUCUAAGCUGCCACUCGCCCGGAUAUCUCCUACCAUGUCCAUAUUUUGAGUAAGUUUGUCUCUACCCCCACUUCGGCUCACUAGUCAUCUUCUUUGUGUGUUUUGAUAUUUUCAUGGCACGAUCGAUCACUAUCUAUUUUUUCCCGUUCCCAUUCAUUAUAGCUCCAUGCAUGAUGUUGCGUGUGCUAGUGAUCCCUCGGAUCGUCGUUCACUUUUUGCUUACUGUGCAUUUCUAGUGGUUCUCUAAUUGCUUGGAAGAAGAACCAGACCGUAGUGCGCCCCGUACGAGUGCACCUCCUCCUCCAACGCAUGAUGCUACGUGGGCUAGUGAUUCCUUCGAUGAAGAACCACACUGCAGUGCCCCGUACAAGUGCACCUCCUCCUGCAACGUCAACGCCGUCGUGCCACUAUCCAGCUCUACCCUCCACUAUAUGUUGUACGACAUUGCUUUCGCGGCUAGGAUGGUGGCGAAGUCGCUAGCGCUAAUGCCACUCGCACGAUGUCGCUAGAGCCUUCAUGCUCUCAAGUGGCACGAACAACCGAGGGGACAAUGUUGCCAUGGCCGCUGGCCUUCCCUCUCUCAGAUCGUGAAGUGACUACUAGAAAUAGUCUAGCGUUUAGGGAAAUGAGGCCCAAAUAGAAUUGUUGAGGUGAGUUAGGCUCACUACCAAAAUGGUUGGUAUAUUCUUCUCCAAAGUGGGCCAUUUGCAUAACAGGACCGAGUGGGAUAUGGUCAUACUCUAUCAAGCCCAAAUGAUAAUCUUCUUUUCUCAAUAAACUUUAACCCCGACUUUCAAAUAAUAAUUUGACCCAAACACUAGACAUAGCAUUUACCAUAAUUCUUUAUACAUCACACCAUAUUUCUAGAAACUACCAACAUGUAAGUCGUAUGAAAGAAAGGAAUAAAUCUGCGCAAGUAAUUUACAUGCAACCUGUUAGAGUUAUAAUAUAAGUCAUGUACCCUUUUGUAUUUAUCCCAAUAUAUAAGGGGUUUCCUGCAUAUAGUCCACCACAUGUACAUGUAUAUAUACUGGCCUAUGGCCUCAUGGGAAUACAAGUUGUUUUCCUAACAUGGUAUUAGAGCCUUAGGUUAUUUUUUUCGCACGCGCAACUCGUGCUCCGAUCCAAUCUCCACGCAGCCGUCGUCUGUCUGCUGCUACCUCUCUCGAUCUCCUCCUACGGCUGCUUCUCGCAGGAUUGAAUCCUGCCGCAGGUGCCCACGCUGCCGAGUCUUCCUCCCCCCUCCUGCUGCUCCCGCGGGUUCUGCUCGUCUGUGCCUCCCCGUCCUGCCGCCGACUCCUCGUCUGCUCCCGCCGGCCCGGCUCGAAGCCUCCAGAUCCCGCCGGAUCGGAUCGGGUGAGUGAGCUCGUCCCGCUCGAGCUCCCGGUCCAACACGUCCAGGUCCAUACUUGCUCCCAUCACCGGCCCUGUUCGAAGCCUCCAGAUCCCGUCACCGCUCCAGGUCAAACUCCCAGAAGCGGCUCCCAGACUAGCACUGCCAGGAUCUGCCUGUUUCCCUGAUCUAGUCUGAUCUCCAGCUUGGAUCAAGGCUCUGCUCCCGGUCGUGCUCUCCAGGUCGCGCCGUCCUCUGCACAAUCCCGAUCUGGAUUCCAGGCACUGCUGAUCCAAUCCCGAUCCAGAUUAGAGCCCGUCACCACCAGCUCCCGAUCCGGAUUAGAGCCAGGCUCUACUACAAAACUACUGCCUGCUAGCUCCCGUCACCACCAGAUCCCGAUCUCGUCGCCCCUCGCUGCUGAAUUCGUCGGAUUUCGUCGGAUUCUCCUGUCUCGACGUGAUCUCAAAAAAAAAGAGUAAAAAAAAUGUCUGCUGCAUCCGGCUACGUUGUUGUUCCUCGUUGUCCGGUGAUCUUUGAUGGCACUAACUACACCGAGUUCAUUGGCUUCAUGCGCAUUCACAUGCGUGGCAUCCGCCUAUGGGGUUUUCUUUCCGGCGAGGUCUGCUGUCCGCCAUGUCCGGUUCCUCCCGUGGCUCCCACUCCGCCGACCCCACCGGCUCUUCCUGCGGAUGCUUCUCAGGCCGCAAAGGAUGCGACUAAGCUUGCUGAUGAGGCCGCUGUGAGUGCUUAUGAUGAGAAGGUCUUGGCUUAUGAGGAGGCUCUUCAGGUGUAUCAUGGUGCUCUGUCCGUUUACACCCAGUGGCUUGAUGAUGAUGCUCGUGUUGUCGCUGUUCUCACUGCUAGUGUUCUGCCUCAGUUUGCUUCUGAGUUUCUGGGCCUUCCUACUGUAUUUGAGAUGUGGACCCGCCUUCGUCAGCGCUAUGAGCCCUCUGGUGAUGCCUUAUACCUCUCUGUGGUCCGUCAGGAGCAUGCUCUUCAGCAGGGUGACUCUACUGUUGAUGACUUCUAUGCACAGAGUUCUACUAUCUGGCGCCAGCUUGAUUCUCUCCGCAGUGCUGGUUGUCGUACUUGCCCCUGUUGCCAGGCUGUCCAGGCCGACUUGGAGUUUCAUCGCGUCUACGAGUUCCUGUCUCGGCUCCGUAAGGAGUUUGAGCCCCGGCGUGCUCAGUUGUUUGCUCGUGGCCGUAUUUCUCUCAUGGAGGCGCUUUCUGAGAUUCGUGCUGAGGAGACUCGCUUACGUGGUGCUGGUUUGCUGGAGGUUCCCUCGGUGCUCGCUGCUCGGACUUUUUCUACGCCACCUGCUGCACCGACCCCUUCUCGCUCGAGUGCUCCGCCACUCUUGCCCACUCCUUCUGGCGGCUCAGGUCGCCCCCGUCCACAUUGUAACUACUGCAACAAUGAUGGUCAUAUUGAGUCCCACUGCUACACGAAGAAGAAACACUUGCGCAAGGCGCGGACAUCAUCUACAGCGACUUCGUCAUCUACCUCGACAGCUUCAGCCAUCGCUUUGACUGAGCAGGAUAUUCUGAGACUUAAGCGUCUGCUCGCUGCUUCAGGUUCUUCCUCAACGGGUACUGCUGGUUCUGUGACUGAGGCUUCCCGCACUGAGCAACCACCUUCUACACAGUCAGGUACAUCCCCAUGGGUUCUGGACUCUGGAGCUUCCUUUCAUAUGACUUCUAAUUCUUCCACUCUGUCCUCUCUUCGAUCGCUUGCUUCUCCUGUUCAUGUCCUCACCGCUGAUGGUACUCCCCUUCCUGUCGUUAGUAGAGGCACUCUUACCACUCCUUAUUCUGUUCCUGAUGUUGCUCAUGUUCCUCGACUUACCAUGAAUUUGUUUUCCGCUGGUCAACUUGCUGAUUCUGGUUGUCGUGUCAUCCUUGACCUUGACUCUUGUUCUGUCCAGGACCGUCGCACGCGCACUCUGGUUGCGGCUGGUCCUCGCCGCCGUGAUUCUGAGGGUCUUUGGGAGUUGGACUGGCUUCAUGUUCCUUCCGCUGCCCACUCUAUCGCUAGUUCUUCCGCUUUGGUCGCCUCGGCUACUGGUUCUUUCCAGCAGUGGCAUCAUCGACUUGGUCAUCUGUGUGGUUCUCGUUUGUCGUCGUUAGUUCGUCGAGGUCUUCUGGGGUCUGUCUCAGGAGAUGCCUCCUUAGAGUGUCAGGGUUGUCGUCUUGGCAAGCAGAUUCAGUUACCAUAUCCACAUAGUGAGUCAGUGUCUAAGCGUCCUUUUGAUUUAGUCCAUUCCGAUGUAUGGGGUCCGGCUCCCUUCGCUUCGAAAGGGGGUCAUAAAUACUAUAUUAUUUUCAUAGAUGACUUCUUUCGUUACACAUGGCUUUAUUUCAUGACUUCUCUAGUGAGGUGUUGUCGCAGAUUCAGUUACCAUAUCCACAUAGUGAGUCAGUGUCUAAGCGUCCUUUUGAUUUAGUCCAUUCCGAUGUAUGGGGUCCGGCUCCCUUCGCUUCGAAAGGGGGUCAUAAAUACUAUAUUAUUUUCAUAGAUGACUUCUCUCGUUACACAUGGCUUUAUUUCAUGACUUCUCGUAGUGAGGUGUUGUCCAUUUAUAAGCGUUUUGCUGCCAUGGUUCAUACUCAGUUCUCUUCUCCCAUUCGUGUGUUUCGUGCUGACUCCGCUGGCGAGUAUAUCUCUAAGAUGUUGCGUGGUGUUCUUGCUGAGCAAGGGACUCUCUCUCAAUUCUCUUGUCCUGGUGCUCAUGCUCAGAAUGGCGUGGCUGAGCGCAAGCAUCGUCAUCUUCUUGAGACGGCUCGUGCAUUGAUGAUUGCUGCCUCUCUCCCGCCUCAUUUUUGGGCUGAGGCCGUCUCCACCUCCACCUAUCUCAUCAAUUUCCAGCCUUCCGCUGCUCUACAGGGUGGUGUUCCUUUCGAGCGUCUUUUUGAUCGUUCUCCUGAUUAUUCGAUGCUUCGCUUGUUUGGUUGUGUUUGCUAUGUUCUUCUUGCCCCCCGCGAACGCACCAAACUGACCGCUCAGUCUGUUGAGUGUGUCUUCUUAGGCUAUAGUGAUGAGCAUAAGGGCUAUCGUUGUUGGGAUCCUAUCGGUCGUCAGAUGCGUAUCUCUCGGGAUGUGACUUUCGAUGAGUCUCGUCCCUUCUACGCACGCCCAUCUUCCUCGACUUUUUCAGUGGAGGAUGUCUCUUUUCUCACUUUUCCUGACACACCUAUCACACCUGUCGAGCCUUUGCCUAUUCGUUCCGCUCCCUCUGCUUCUCCACCUCCAGUCGAUUUGUCGCCACCAUCUUCCACGGUCUCCUCGUCUAGCAUGUCACUGGAGUCUACACCUUCCUCUCCGGUGACUUCUUCGUCGUCACUCCCCAAUUCUACCUUGGCGAUUCCUCCUUCCAUUGUUCCAUCUUUUCCUCAGUAUUACACUCGUCGUUCACGUUCUGUGGAUGCCUCUGUGGAUGUGUCAUCAUCCUCAUCUCAGCCUACUUAUGGUUUGCGUUCUCGUCCUCGUCCGCCUGUUGAUCGCUUUGGAUUUUCCACCGCUGGUGCUGCUGUUCUUGAGCCGACUACUUAUCAUCAGGCUGUUGUUCAUCCUGAAUGGCAGUUUGCGAUGGCAGAGAAGAUUGUUGCUCUUGAACGCACUGGUACGUGGGAUCUUGUUUCCCUUCCUCCCGGAGUUCGUCCCAUCACUUGUAAGUGGGUCUACAAGGUUAAGACUCGCUCUGAUGGUUCUCUUGAGCGUCACAAAGCUCGUCUUGUGGCUCGUGGUUUUCAGCAGGAGCAUGGUCGUGCUUAUGACGAGACUUUUGCUCCUGUGGCUCAUAUGACCACUGUUCGUACACUUCUUGCCGUGGCCUCUACACGCCACUGGUCUAUCUCUCAGCUUGAUGUUAAGAAUGCUUUUCUUAAUGGUGAGCUGCGUGAGGAGGUGUACAUGCAGCCACCACCUGGGUAUUCUGUUCCUGAUGGCAUGGUAUGUCGUCUUCGUCGCUCUCUCUAUGGCCUUAAGCAAGCCCCCCGUGCCUGGUUUGAGCGUUUUGCCUCUGUGGUGACUGCCGCUGGUUUUUCACCCAGUGUUCAUGAUCCAGCAUUAUUUAUUCACCUUUCUCCUCGUGGUCGGACUCUUCUUCUUCUCUAUGUUGAUGAUAUGGUCAUCACUGGGGAUGACCCCGAGUAUAUUGCCUUUGUCAAGGCCCGUCUUAGUGAGCAGUUCCUUAUGUCUGAUCUUGGACCUCUUCGCUACUUUCUUGGGAUUGAAGUUUCUUCUACCUCUGAUGGCUUCUUUAUAUCCCAGGAAAAGUAUAUCCAGGAUCUUCUUGCUCGUGCUGCUCUUACUGAUGAGCGCAUUGUUGAGACUCCUAUGGAGCUCAAUGUUCACCUAUGCGCUACUGAUGGUGAUCCCCUGCCUGACCCGACGCGUUAUCGUCAUCUUGUUGGCAGUCUUGUUUACCUGGCUGUCACUCGUCCGGAUAUUUCUUAUCCGGUUCAUAUUCUGAGUCAGUUCGUCUCUGCUCCUACAUCGGUUCACUAUAGUCAUCUCCUCCGUGUUCUCCGAUAUCUUCGGGGCACGAUCUCUCACCGUCUAUUCUUUCCUCGCUCCAGUUCUUUACAGCUUCAGGCCUAUUCGGAUGCUACGUGGGCUAGUGAUCCUUCAGAUCGCCGUUCACUUUCUGCUUACUGUGUUUUUCUUGGUGGUUCUCUCAUUGCCUGGAAGACGAAGAAACAGAUUGCAGUUUCCCGUUCAAGUGCAGAGGCUGAGUUGCGAGCGAUGGCUCUUUUAACGGCAGAGGUGACUUGGUUACGGUGGUUACUUCAGGAUUCUGGUGUUUCUGUCACUACACCGACUCUACUCUUAUCUGACACUACAGGUGCUAUUAGCAUUGCGCGCGACCCUGUGAAGCAUGAGCUCACCAAGCAUAUUGGCGUUGAUGCUUUCUAUGUGAGCGCUGCUGUGCAGGAUCAAGUUAUUGCUCUUCAGUAUGUGCCUUCCGAGUUACAGUUGGCGGAUUUCCUGACGAAGGCCCAGACUAGAGCACAACAUGGCUUUUAUCUCUCCAAACUCAGUGUUGUUCAUCCACCAUGAGUUUGAGGGGGUGUUAAGAGUUAUAAUAUAAGUCAUGUACCCUUUUGUAUUUAUCCCAAUAUAUAAGGGGUCUCCUGCAUAUAGUCCACCACCUAUACAUGUAUAUAUACUGGCCUAUGGCCUCAUGGGAAUACAAGUUGCUUUCUAACACAACCAUCAUACUUCCUCUGUACCUAAAUAAUUAUAGUUGGACUACAAUUAUUUAGGUACAGAGGGAGUAAUUAUAUUGUUUUAGAAAUCCUAGGUAGCUUUGACUAGAUGUCUACACCCAUGUCUAUACUCUACAACACUAAAUAGAAAGGUGUGCUUUAAUUUAUUAACAUUAGACGAUAAUCUCUAUGCCCAACCUAGGGGUGUGCAUUACGUGAUGGAAAAUGCAAAAAACUCUCAACUUUGCCAAAAAUUUAGGAAAGUAAUUGUAACUCACUAAACAGUUAUAUUUGCGAUUUCAAAAGGAAGAUAUAAUGACAAGGUGUUUAACAAAUAUGCAUGCAUGGUGUACCAUUCUUAUAGCGAACAAAAUAAAUAUCAGGAUAGAUACUAAGGGUCAGUUCUUUUGGGUGGCUUAAAAAAAUAAGCUGCCUUUCCCCAGCUUAAAAAAUAAGCCGCUCUCAAAAUUUGUUGAGGCUUCUAAACUUGCAAUUUCACAACUAGUUCAAAAGCCUCAAUGAAUGAUGAAGGCAGCUUAUGGAAAAAGCUGGAGAGGAGCCGUCAAAAGAACUGGCCCUAAGAAAUAGAAUGCAUACCACCACGAACACCGCCACCACUAGCUCCGUCACGGAAUGUUGUGUGAUAAAAGCCCACCAUGCUCACUCAAGAACCUCAACUGACAUGUUGAAUUUGUAACUGAAAUGUAAAACACAAACAUAAGGGAUCCAACUUCAAAAUAAUAUAAACAAUGAGCAAAGCAACAUAUAGAAGUAUAAAAAAACAUACCCCUCAUCCAAGAUACCAUAAGCAUACAAUAAAUAUACACAGAGCUACAGAACCGGCUUCCCUUGAGCCUUGCACCCUCGCUUAUCAACAUAGUACCAAGAUCGGACCCUAGAAAAAGAGCAGGAUUUAGAAAAAGAGCAGAAUUGUUAAGCAUAGACCUAAGUACAGCUUAACGACACUAAAAUAUGUCAAAGGGCCACUCACAGUUCCAUCAAAUCCAACAAUCAUUGUACCGACUAAAAGUACCAUCCUACGGUAUGAAAAUCCAGGAUAUUAGCCAAUGUGUUUAAAGAACCGACAAUAGAGAUCCUUCGCUUCUUCACGAGCUCAUGAACCUCUGAAGGAAGAAACUAUUGUUAUUCCUACUAUGUUUACUAUUAAAGGGGAGUGAGGUCUUGAUGGUAGGCCAUAGUAUGUCGAUUCGCAUGUUCGUGUGUCUUCCCCCUCUCUCAAACAAAUUCUCGCCGAUGAGUGGACCCACCAUGUCUUGCCCCUGCCUCAUGGACUCGCUCGCCCCAACCUGAUUCUUCUUCCUCUCUCGUGAAGAGCGAGCUCAACCAACUAGGGUUGCUAUUGUGUUCAAUCGUCGACACCUCGCAUCGCUGCCCUGGUUGCUAUCGAACACACCAACCAAGAAUUGCAUUGUCGAACACAAGCCUAAGGUCGCCCUCGUUUGUAGAUGCAAGAUGUAGCUCACCGUCUUCUAUAUCAUGUACGACCUUCAUCUCUACCUACUUCCCAGCGCAUCGAACAGAGGCACCGCAGCAGCUACUCGAGUUGUAUGUAAGUCAUGGAUUCAAGAGAGGUUCUUGGAGUUCUCAUGGUCCAUGCUCGCCGCCGCCGAAAGGGUGGAAGAGUCGAUUUGUUAGGCUUGCCUAGUGUUUGUCUUCAAUACCAACGCAUUCCUUUGUCAUCACUAAGAUUUUGUCUCGCUCACUACUUGUUUCUUGCACUAUAUGGACAGAUCUAGCUUCUUCAUUUAUCCAUAAUUUUUCUUUAAAGUCCAUCGACCAAAUGUACAAGAGCUUGGCGACUCUUUUCUCGCUGCAGCUAAAACUUUAUAUUAAAGUGAACUUUAGUUUUGUUGGUUUCUUGUUCAUAUAAACCGGCGGCAAGAAACAAGACUAGAUUAACCACGACAACAUCAACCAAGUUUAUGAGCAUGUGCCUGGACCCUCCUGUAUGGCGGUUGAUCCACUUUACAUGAAGAUUAAAGUCAUCUACAUCAAUAUAUUAAUUUUGCUUCUGGUAUGCAUUUCUUGGAGAAAUCUUAGGGCAAAUAUUUUUCUUAUCUUUUGCUUCCUUUAGAAAUUUUGGAGAAAUUUAAUGUAGGCACCUUCAGUUCUAUUACCUCCGUCCCAAAAAUUUUGUCUUAGAUUUAUCUAGAUACAGAUGAAUCUAACACUAAAACGUGUUUAGAUACAUCUCUAUCUAGACAAAUCUAAGUCAAGCUUUUUGGGACGGAGGAAGUAUAACAUAGUUGAAUCUAAAAAUUACUACAAUUAGCAUUGUAAUCACAGCGGUGGGCUAAUUCUGUAAAGAAAUACAACAAUGUAACGUUCUUGGUUAAACUUCAGUUCUGCAUAUACUCCCUCCGUCCCAAAAUAAGUGUCGCUGAUUUAGUACAGAAGUUAGUGACACUUAUUUUGGGACGGAGGGGGUACUUAGUAAUGCAAAUUCAAGAAUGCUGCAGGCAUGUCGUCAUUGAAGUCUUGAUAGAUAUUUUGUUUAUCUGUAUUUACGUGCAUUAACAGAGUUACUAAUCUUGUUCUGAUAUUUCGUCAAUAGAAGACUGGAUUGUGUCUACAACCAUUGUGCAUCACUAUGAUCCAAAUAUUGGCAAUUCGAGGUGGAUUUCACUUGUGGUAGCACACAAUUCAGAUAGCACCUGGGACUUUAGUCACAGAUGAUGGGAUAUAGGAUUCACAUCGGUGCAGAGUGAGUACCAUGCAAAUGAAAUGUUGGUUGCAAUAUUAAUGAUCUGCCUCUUUGUGGAGGUAAAAAUAGUUCAAAAAAGCGCUAGGCGUUAAUUGUGCGUUUUGCCACCGCCUUGAGCUUUUCUGACCAAAGCGCAUGCUUAUGCGCAAUUAUGCGCAGAUUAAGCGCAGUUAUGUGCUAGGCGUUUUGCUAUCGCCUAGAUCCUAGGCGCACUUAAGCGCUCGCUUAGGCGUGCCUUUUUUAACUAAAAUUGAUAAGAGUUAAGCUUGAGAAAUAUUUUUCCAUCGAUCUUUUAGUCUAGCAAGUAAAUAUCUUUUCCGUCGUUCUUUUAGCUCGAUGUAAAGAAUAUAAUUGUUUGUGCAGCCACAAGUAUGCUAUCUUCUGUUUCGUAAAAAAGAUGUAAGUUUGACUAUUACAACAUAAAAGAUGUUCGCAUUUGUAAGAUAGAUAUUAUUUUAGAUUUAUCAUGUUCUGGGUUUGUCAUGUCCUGUAAAUUACUCCCUCCAUCCCAUAAUAUAAGAACAUUUUGCAAGCUAAAACAGCUAAAUGAUCUUUAUAUUAUGGGACGGAGGGAGUCAGAUAAGUCNNNNNNNNNNNNNNNNNNNNNNNNNNNNNNNNNNNNNNNNNNNNNNNNNNNNNNNNNNNNNNNNNNNNNNNNNNNNNNNNNNNNNNNNNNNNNNNNNNNNUGUUAGGAGAGCAACUUAUCUCUAUUGAAGGCCCAAGGGGCAUAUAUAUAUUACACAUGACUUGAGGUGCAAGGAAAGUAAACAUAGACUAAUAAGGACUCCUAGACUAAUACUAAUAGACUAAUACUAAUACUUCCUAACAUCCCCCUCAAAUGCAAAGCGUAUGAAAUAGCAUUGUAUUUGAAGAAGUGUAAUACUAAAAAAAAAUGAUAAUCCAAAUCCGCGUCUUGAGAGUGUCGUCGUAGCAUGAAGAGUCUUCAAAACUUGUCGAGUCGUCGAAGGAGAUAACGAAGAGAUGGCACAUCAGAGGUAGACACCGCAUCACUUGAAGAUACUAGAUAAGUAUCAAGAGAAGAUGGGUUGUCAAAAGAAGAUAGCACAUCAAGAGAAUAAAGCAUUGUGUAGAAAAUCAUAGUCCGCGACAACCGACGGCGAAAGAAGCUCGGCGGUUAAGGCACGAUGAACAUAGAUUGUCAAUGCAAAAGAAUUCCAGAAAAUCCUAUAGAAAACAACAAGGGCAAAUAAGCCACAAAAGUUGUAUAGAAAGGAUCAGGAACGAAAGAAAGGCUGACGGACAAUGGUAUGGUGGACUCACAUGGCAUGAGAAACACAAAAUAUCAACGGAUUUGGUGGAAGCAGCGGAAAACAAGGAAGCUAAAAGCUAGGAAGCAUACACGACACAAAGAUGCAAAAUCCAUCGUGUAUGCAGAAGACAUUGUAUUUUUUUUAUUGUUGUUGAAAGCAAAAUAGGAACGGAGCAGAAGCUAGCACGCCGCCAGCCACGUACGUGACGGAAAGGCAGCAGCUAGCAUGCAUGAGCGAACGCAGCAACUAGCAAGCAGGCUAGCAUGCAGCAGCCAGCGUAGCAGAAGAUAGCAGGUAGCACGCAGCAGCAACGUGUGGAGCAGGGGCAGCGGUGGCCAAGAGGAGCACCACGUAGCAGCAGGAACUGCUGGACGAAUAUCGCGAACGCAACAUGCACAUUGACAGCUCAUCGCGAGAUCCAUCAAGCUGCGUGGCCGCGACCUGGAGUGGAGGCGGCGCGACCUGGAGCGGUUGGAUCCAGGAGAGAGCGGGCCUGCGGCGGGCGCAGCCAUGGACGACGGAUCCUGGAGAUUUGGAGAGGGAGGUGACGCAACCUGGAGCGGCGGCGUCGCGAGAUCCGGCAGGGCCGGUGGGAUCCGGCCUGAUCUGCAGCGACUGGGGGCGACUGAAGGCGGCGGGAUCCGGCGACACGAGAACCAGCAACGUGGCCGAGAUGGGAUCCAGCAAGUCUGAGAACCAGCAGCACUUCGAUCUGGACCUGCAGCCUGUAGCUUCGAUUUGGACGGGAACCAGGGCCGGCGGGACCGGCUGAAGAUCGGGGGCCUGCGGGACAAGCCCCCUGCUUCAAUCGAGCAGGACGAGAGGAGAUCGAGUGGGGCUGAAGAGAGGCAGCGGCGGCGGAAUAGAAGAUUGGAUCGGGAGGACGAGUUGCGGCGCCCGAAAAAAAAACCCUAAGCACUAAUACCAUGUUAGGAAAGCAACUUAUCUCUAUUGAAGGCCCAAGGGGCAUAUAUAUAUUACACAUGACUUGAGGUGCAAGGAAAGUAAACAUAGACUAAUAAGGACUCCUAGACUAAUACUAAUAGACUAAUACUAAUACUUCCUAACAGCGCCAACGUUUCAUAGCCUAAGGCGGUCAACAGGCAAAAGUGGACGAGGUCGCAAGCCAUAAGAAGGCCGAGACGGAGAAGAUGGCACAUCAGUAGAUGCAUCCACAACACACGAACGACGCGUAUAAAAGUGAGUCAAAUGUGGAAGAAUACGAGCAAGAAUCCUCGAGAUAAACUCAGGUUAUGGAGACAAGUCACCGGUGAUGAAAGUUUAGAAUCCCGUGAUAAGCGAAGUGAGGAAAUCAUAGGAGAUGAUGGUGCUGAAUCUUUAAUAAUUGGAGAAGCAGGAGCAGUACGAGGAAUGGAUUGGGGCUCAACGAUAGUGAUAGGAGUGUCGGGAAAAGUGAGGUAACACAUCCUCCACUGAAAAGGUCGGGGAUGAUGGUCACACGUAGAAGGGACUGGACUCACUAAAAGUCAUAACGUGAGAAAUAGUCACCAAUGACCAACAUGAUCCUAACAACAGGAUCUCUUAUGCUCAUUGUUGUAUCCUAUGAACACUCAACGAACUAGGUAGUAAGUUUGGUACAUUCACGAGAGGUAGUAAGGGCACAUCAAACACAACCAAACAAUUGAAGCGCUGAAUAAUAUGGAAACGAUCAAAUAGACUCUCGAAAGGAGAUGACCAUGGUGGAAGUGGAGACGCAUUCAACCCAAAAGUGUGGCGUAAGAGAGGCAGUGACCAUCCAACAGUCUGGCGGAAGAGAGAGAACUGACAUUGAACCUACGACCCGUCUCAAUAGUUGACGAUGCUUGCCCUUAGCCAUGCCAUUUCUGAGCAUGAGCAUCAGGAUAAGAGAACUGAGCAAGAGCACCCUGCUCAACAAGGAUUGAACGCCACAUCUUGGAUAUUUAUUGUCCACCAGAGUCAUCACAGUAUACAAGAAUAGGCCUAGAGAACUUGGUGUGAACCAUGGAAGCAAAACCCUUGCACCGAUAAGACCUCCCUACGCAAGGAAAUAAAGUAUAUCCAGGUGUGUUGAGAGAAGUCAUCUAUACAUAUAGUACUGGCGAUGACCUCCUUUCGAGGCGAAAGGAGAUGGACCCCAGACAUCAAAGUGAACAAGGUUGAAAGGAUGUUGAGACACUGUCUCGCUAUGAGCAUAAGGUAACUAUAGCUGUUUACCAAGCCGACAACCCAGACAGUUUAGAGAUAUCGUCGGAGACUGAUCCAAGAAGACCACAUCAAACUAAGGAUGCGAGAUGAGAGCCACACAAGUGACCCUAGGCGACGAUGGCACUUCUAAGCAUAACUGGUAGACAAGGUAAAAGAGGUGGAGAGACUAGCGGCUGUAGCAGCAGAGUCACUUGAUCCAGCAUCCUACGUGCCUCUGCGCUCUCCGUUACCCGCCAAUCCGACUUGGUGUGCUUCUCCUGUUUGCGGGUUGUGUGCCACACACUUGAUUAAGCACCCCACGUUCUCCUACAGUGCGCCCUUGACCCUGGCUUUAGGNNNNNNNNNNNNNNNNNNNNNNNNNNNNNNNNNNNNNNNNNNNNNNNNNNNNNNNNNNNNNNNNNNNNNNNNNNNNNNNNNNNNNNNNNNNNNNNNNNNNUUAUCCUGGUGCUCAUACUCAGAAAUGGCAUGGCUGAGGGCAAGCAUCAUCAACUAUUGAGACGACUCGUAGGUUCAAUGUCACUGCUCUCUCUUCCGUCACACGUUUGGAUGGUCACUACCUCACUUACGCCACACUUUUGGGUUGAAUGUGUCUCCACUUCCACCAUGGUCAUCUCCUUUCGAGAGUCUAUUUGAUCGUUUCCAUAUUAUUCAGCGCUUCAAUUGUUUGGUUGUGUUUGAUGUGCCCUUACUGCCUGUCAUGAAUGUACCAAACUUACUACUUAGUCUGUUGAGUGUUCAUAGGAUACAACGAUGAGCAUAAGAGAUAAUGUUGUUAGGAUCAUGUUGGUCAUCGGGUGACUAUUUAUCAUGGUAUGACUUUUACUGAGUCUUGUCCCUUCUACGUGUGACCAUCAUCUCCUAUGAUUUCCUUACUUCGCUUAUCACGGGAUUCUAAACUUUCACCACCGGUGACUUCCUUGUCUCCAUAACCUGAGUUUAUCUCGAUGAUUCUUGCUCGUAUUCUUCCACAUUUGCCUCACUCUUAUACGCGUCUUUCGUGUGUUGUGAAUGCAUCUACUGAUGUGCCAUCUUCUCCGUCUCGGCCUUCUUAUGGCUUGCGACCUCGUCCACUUUUGCCUAUUGACCGCCUUAGGCUAUGAAGCGUUGGCGCUACUUUCUUGAGCAAACUUCUUAUCUUGAUGUUAUUCAUACCAAACGGCGCCUUGCCAUGGUAGAGGAUAUUGCUACUGUUGAGCACAUAAGCACAUGGGAUAUUGUAUCUCUUCCUCCUCGUGUUCGUCCCAUUACUUGGUGCGUCUACAAGGCUAAGACUCGCUCGGUUGGUUCUCUUGAACGUUACAAAGCUCGUCUUGUGGCUCGUGGCUUUCAGUAAAAUCAUGGUCCUAAUUACGAUGAGAGUUUUUGCUCAUGCGGGCCAUACGACAAUUGUUCACUCCGUCUCGGCAUGAUGUUAAGAAUGUCUUUUUUUUAAUGGUGAAUUGCGUGAGGGGUUUUACGUGCAGCCACCACUUGCGUAUUCCACAUCUAGAUUCUCAUGUUCAUGUUUUUAGUGUCAAUGUAACUUCCCUGCCUGUCGAUAGACGAGGCACUCUUGGCAGUUUGUCUUUUCACAUUCCUUCUUUUGCUCGUCUUCCUUGACUUUACUACACUCGAUGUUCGCGUGUUGUGGAUUCUUCUAAUGAGUCAUCUGCCUCGACUACUAUGCCUUCUUCUGUGGGCAACACAUAGCUCCAGAUCAGCCUACUUAUGGCUUUCCAGCUCGCCCGCUUACGCCUAUUGACUGGUAUGGUUAGUUAUUGCACUGCUCUUCACAAGAAGACUUAUCUUGACGUUUUUUCAUCCACAAUGGCAACAUGUGAUGGCAUCAAAUGCUCUUCCCCUCAUCGCCUAGUGGAAUCUCAUUUCCCUUCCUCCUCUUGCUCGUCCCAUCACUUAUAACUCGGCCCACAAGGGUGAGACUAUGAUGUUUCUCUAGAGCUUUACAAACCUUUUCUAGUGGUGAGAACAUAUAGUCAUGAGUCAUGACAACGAUGAGACAUUUGCUUCUGUUGGCAACACAUAGCUCCAGAUCAACCUACUUAUGGCUCUCGAGCUCGCCCGCUUCUGCUUCUGCCUAUUGACUGCUAUGGUUAGUAAUUGUGGUGCUCUUCGCAAGAAGACUUCUUAUCAUGACAUUUUUUCAUCCACANNNNNNNNNNCGGCAUCAAAUGCUCUUCCCCUUGUCGGCUAGUGGAAUCUCAUUUCCCUUCCUCCUCUUGCUCGCCUCAUCACUCGUAACUAGGCCAACAAGGGUGAGACUAUGAUGUUUCUCUAGAGCUUUACAAAGCUCAUCUAGUGGUGAGAACAUAUAGUCAUGACUACGAUGAGACAUUUGCUUAUGUUGGCAACACAUAGCUCCAGAUCAGCCUACUUAUGGUUUUCGAGCUCGCCCGCUUCUGCCAAGGACACGACGCUACCUAAACCCAGGGUCAAGGGCGCCCUGUAGGAGAACGUGGGGUGGUUAAUCAAGUGCGUGGCACACAACCCGCAAACAGGAGAAGCACACCAAACCGGAUCGGUGAGUAACGGAGAGCGCACAGGCACGUAGGAUGCUGGAUCAAGUGACUCUGCUGCUACAGCCGCUAGUCUCUCCACCUAUGUUACCUUGUCUACCAGUUAUGCUUAGAAGUGCCAUCGUUGCCUCGGGUCACUUUUGUGGCUCUCAUCUCGCAUCCUUAGUUUGACGUGGUCUUCUUGGAUCGGUCUCCGACGAUGUCUUUAAACUAUCUGGGUUGUCGGCUUGGUAAACAGCUAUAGUUACCUCAUGCUCAUAGCGAGACAGUGUCUCAACAUUCUUUCAACCUUGCUCACUUUGAUGUCUGGGGUCCAUCUCCUUUCGCCUCGAAAGGAGGUCAUCGCUAGUACUAUAUUUAUAGAUGACUUCUCUCAACACACUUGGAUAUACCUUAUUUCCUUUCGUAGUGAGGUCUUAUCUGUGUAAGCGUUUUGCUUCCAUGGUUCACACCAAGUUCUCUACGCCUAUUCUUGUAUAUUGUGAGGACUCUGGUGGAGAAUAAAUAUCCAAGAUGUUGCGUUCAAUCCUUGUUGUGGAGGGCCGUCUUGCUCGGUUCUCUUAUCCUGGUGCUCAUACUCAGAAAUGGCAUGGUUGAGGGCAAGCAUCAUCAACUAUUGAGACGGCUCGUAGGUUCAAUGUCACUCCUCUCUCUUCCGCCACACGUUUGGAUGGUCACUACCUCUCUUACGCCACACUUUUGGGUUGAAUGUGUCUCCGCUUCCACCAUGGUCAUCUCCUUACGAGAGUCUAUUUGAUCGUUUCCAUAUUAUUCAACGCUUCAAUUGUUUGGUUAUGUUUGAUGUGCCCUUACUGCCUGUCGUGAAUGUACCAAUCUUACUACUUAGUUUGUUGAGUGUUCAUAGGAUACAACGAUGAGCAUAAGAGAUACUGUUGUUAGGAUCAUGUUGGUCAUCGGGUGACUAUUUCUCACGGUAUGACUUUUACCGAGUCUUGUCCCUUCUACGUGUGACCAUCUUCCCCGACCUUUACAGUGCAGGAUGUGUGUUGCCUCACUUUUCCCAACACUCCUAUCACUAUUUUUGAGCCCUAAUCCAUUCCCCGUACUGCUCCUGCUUCUCCAAUUAUUACAGAUUCAGCACCAUCAUCUCCUAUGAUUUCCUCACCUCUCUUAUCAUGGCUUUCCAGCUGCCCACUUCUGCCUAUUGACUACUAUGGUUAGUUAUUGCAGUGCUCUUCACAAGAACACCACUUAUCAUGACGUUUUUUCAUCCACAAUGGCAGCAUGUGAUGGCAUCAAAUGCUCUUCCCCUCAUCGGCUAGUGGAAUCUCAUUUCCCUUCCUCCUCUUCAUGUUUCUCUAGAGCUUUACAAACCUUUUCUAGUGGUGAGAACAUUAUAGUCAUGACUACGAUCAGAUAUUUGCUUCUGUUGGCAACACAUAGCUCUAGAUCAGCCAACUUAUAGCUUUCGAGCUCGCCCGCUUCUGCCUAUUGACUGCUAUGGUUAGUUACUGCGGUGCUCUUCGCAAGAAGACUUCUUAUCAUGACAUUUUUUUCAUCCACAGUGGCAGCAUGUGAUGGCAUCAAAUGCUCUUCCCCUCGUCGGCUAGUGGAUUCUCAUUUCCCUUCCUCCUCUUGCUCGUCUCAUCACUUGUAACUAGGCUCCUCACAGCGAGUUUCUUAUGUCUGACCUUGGCCCUCAUCGCUACUUCCCAGAGUCUACCUUUGAUGGCUUCUUUAUUUGCUAAGAGAAGUAUAUCCAGGAUCUUCUUGCUCCUGCUGCUCUUACUGACAAGCGUACUGUUGAGACUCCUAUGGAGUCAACAUCCACCUUUUUGGUCCACCUCCUCUCCCUGCUAGUUGGAUGGGCAUCCUUUGCCUUGCUAUGGGUUGCUAUGUGAACUGUCUCAAUCCCACAUCCCGUGUUCCCUUUAUGGGCGACACCAGAACCCACGCUCGAGCAACACCAAUGGUGAGCAGGAGCUCGGACAGUCGGCGCAUACCUGGAUUAUGCACGGCAAGCCGAGGACACGGCGCUACCUAAAGCCAGGGUCAAGGGCGCACUGUAGGAGAAUGUGAGGUGCUUAAUCAAGUGCGUGGCACACAACCCGCAAACAAGAGAAGCACACCAAGCCGGAUCGGUGAGUAACGGAGAGCGCACAGGCACGUAGGAUGCUGGAUCAAGUGACUCUGCUGCUAUAGCCGCUAGUCUCUCCACCUCUGUUACCUUGUCUACCAGUGAUGCUUAGAAGUGCCAUCGUCGCCUGGGGUGACUUGUGUGGCUCUCAUCUCGCAUCCUUAGUUUGACAUGAUCUUCUUGGAUCAGUCUCAGACGAUAUCUCUAACCUGUCUGGGUUGUCGGCUUGGUAAACAGCUAUAGUUACCUNNNNNNNNNNNNNNNNNNNNNNNNNNNNNNNNNNNNNNNNNNNNNNNNNNNNNNNNNNNNNNNNNNNNNNNNNNNNNNNNNNNNNNNNNNNNNNNNNNNNCUUCUCUUAGCAAAUAAAGAAGCCAUCAAAGGUAGACUCUGGGAAGUAGCGAUGAGGACCAAUGUCAGACAUAAGAAACUCACUGUGACGAGCCUUCACCAAGGCAAUGUAUUUAAGAGUCGUGCAGGAUCAUGAGCACUCGUUGAAAAACGAGCCGCAUUAACCACAGAGACAACACUCAAACCAGGCAUGAGGGGUUUGCUUGAGACCAUAUAGAAAACGUCGAACAGGACAAACCAUGCCAGCUGGAAAAGAAUACCCAAGUGGUGGCUACAUGUAGGCAUUGUUGACAUCAAGUUGAGAGAGAGAGAGAUACUAUGUUGGCAAACAAAAACCACAUCGGAAAGUGUGCCAAAAGUGGUCAUCUGGGCCAUAUUGGAGCAAAUGUCUGAUCGUAAUUCAAACUAUAUGUUCUCACUACUAGACGAGCUUUGUAAAGCUCUAGAGAAACAUCAUAGUCUCACCCUUGUGGGCCCAGUUACAAGUGAUGAGACGAGCAAGAGGAGGAAGGGAAAUGAGAUUCCACUAGCCGACGAGGGGAAGAUCAUUUGAUGCCAUCACAUGCUGCCAUUGUGGAUGAAAAAACGUCCUGAUAAGAAGUCGUCUUGCGAAGAGCACCGCAAUAACUAACCAUUGCAGUCAAUAGGCAGAAGCGGGCGAGCAUGAAAGCCAUAAGUAGGCUGAUCUGGAGCUAUGUGUUGCCAACAGAAGAAGACAUAGUAGUUGAGGGAGAUGACUCAUUAGAAGAAUCCACAGCACGCGAACAAUGAGUGUAGUAAAGUCAAGGUAGAUGAGCAAAAGAAGGAACAUGCAAAGACAAACUGCCAAGAGUGCCUCGACUAUCGACUGGCAGGGAAGUUACAUUGAGAGUAAAAACAUGAACAUGAGAAUCUAGAUGUGGAAUACGCAAGUGGUGGCNNNNNNNNNNAAAAUUCACCAUUAAAAAAGACAUUCUUAACAUCAAGCCGAAUCGGAGUGACGAAUAAAGGCCGCAACAAGAUGUGUGUGAACAAUUGUCGUAUGGCCUGCAUGAGCAGAAACUCUCAUCGUAAUUAGGACCACGAUUCUACUGAAAGCCACGAGCCACAAGACGAGUUUUGUAAUGUUCAAGAGAACCAUCAGAGCGAGUCUUAACCUUGUAGACGCACCAAGUAAUGGGACGAACACGAGGACGAAGGGACACAAUAUCCGAUGUGCUAAUGCGCUCAACAGUAGCAAUAUCCUCUACCAUGGCAAGGCGCCAUUUGGUAUGAAUAACAUCAAGAUAAGAAGUCUGCUCAAGAAAGUAGCGCCAACGUUUCAUAGCCUAAGGUGGUCAACAGACAAAAGUGGACGAGGUCGCAAGCCAUAAGAAGGCCGAGACGGAGAAGANNNNNNNNNNNNNNNNNNNNNNNNNNNNNNNNNNNNNNNNNNNNNNNNNNNNNNNNNNNNNNNNNNNNNNNNNNNNNNNNNNNNNNNNNNNNNNNNNNNNAGACAGUUCACAUAGCAACCCACAGCAAGGCAAAGGAUGCCCAUCCAAUUGGCAGGGAGCGGAGGUGGACCCAAAAACGUGGAUGUUGACUCCAUAUGAGUCUCAAUAGUACGCUUGUCAAUAAGAUCAGCAGGAGCAAAAACAUCCUGGAUAUACUUCUCUUAGCAAAUAAAGAAGCCAUCAAAUGUAGACUCUGGGAAGUAGCGAUGAGGACCAAGGUCAGACAUAAGAAACUCACUGUGACGAGCCUUCACAAAGACAAUGUACUUAAGAAUCAUGCAAGAUCAUGAGCACUAGUUGAAAAACGAGCCACAUUAACCACAGAGACAACGCUCAAACCAGGCAUGAGGGGUUUGCUUAAGACCAUAUAGAGAACGCCGAAGGCGACAAACCAUGCCAGGUGGAAAAGAAUACCCAAGUGUUGGCUACAUGUAGGCAUUGCUGACGUCGAGCUGAGACAGAGAGAGAGAGAGAGAGCCUAUGUUGGCAAACAGAAGGACAUCGAAAAGUGUGCAAAAAGUGUUCAUCUGGGCCAUAUAGGAGCAAAUGUCUCAUCGUAGUUAUGACUAUAUGUUCUCACCACUAGAUGAGCUUUGUAAAGCUCUAGAGAAACAUCAUAGUCUCACCCUUGUGGGCCUAGUUACAAGUGAUGAGACGUGCAAGAGGAGGAAGGGAAAUGAGAUUCCACUAGCCGACGAGGGGAAGAGCAUUUGAUGCCAUCANNNNNNNNNNNNNNNNNNNNNNNNNNNNNNNNNNNNNNNNNNNGUAAUAACCUACCAUAGUAGUCAAUAGGCAGAAGCGGGCGAGCUCGAAAGCCAUAAGUAGGCUGAUCUGGAGCUAUGUGUUGCCAACAGAAGCAAAUGUCUCAUCAGUCAUGACUAUAUGUUCUCACCACUAGAUGAGGUUUGUAAAGCUCUAGAGAAACAUCAUAGUCUCACCCUUGUUGGCCUAGUUACGAGUGAUGAGACGAGCAAGAGGAGGAAGGGAAAUGAGAUUCCACUAGCCGAUGAGGGGAAGAUAAUUUGAUGCCAUCACAUGCUGCCAUUGUGGAUGAAAAAAUGUCAUGAUAAGAAGUCUUCUUGGGAAGAGCACCGCAAUAACUAACCAUAGCAGUCAAUAGGCAGAAGCGGGCGAGCUCGAAAGCCAUAAGUAGGCUGAUCUGGAGCUAUGUGUUGCCAACAGAAGCAAAUGUCUCAUCGUUGUCAUGACUNNNNNNNNNNNNNNNNNNNNNNNNNNNNNNNNNNNNNNNNNNNNNNNNNNNNNNNNNNNNNNNNNNNNNNNNNNNNNNNNNNNNNNNNNNNNNNNNNNNNUUGGAUAUUUAUUGUCCACCAGAGUCAUCACAGUAUACAAGAAUAGGCAUAGAGAACUUGGUGUGAACCAUGGAAGCAAAACGCUUACACGGAUAAGACCUCCCUACGAAAGGAAAUAAAGUAUAUCCAGGUGUGUUGAGAGAAGUCAUCUAUACAUAUAGUACUGGCGAUGACCUCCUUUCGAGGCGAAAGGAGAUGGACCCCAGACAUCAAAGUGAACAAGGUUGAAAGGAUGUUGAGACACUGUCUCGCUAUGAGCAUAAGGUAACUAUAGCUGUUUACCAAGCCGACAACCCAGACAGUUUAGAGAUAUCGUCGGAGACUGAUCCAAGAAGACCACAUCAAACUAAGGAUGCGAGAUGAGAGCCACACAAGUGACCCAGGCGACGAUGGCACUUCUAAGCAUAGCUGGUAGACAAGGUAACAGAGGUGGAGAGACUAGCGGCUGUAGCAGCAGAGUCACUUGAUCCAGCAUCCUACGUGCCUCUGCGCUCUCCGUUACCCGCCAAUCCGACUUGGUGUGCUUCUCCUGUUUGCGGGUUGUGUGCCACACACUUGAUUAAGCACCCCACGUUCUCCUACAGUGNNNNNNNNNNNNNNNNNNNNNNNNNNNNNNNNNNNNNNNNNNNNNNNNNNNNNNNNNNNNNNNNNNNNNNNNNNNNNNNNNNNNNNNNNNNNNNNNNNNNAGGGUUUGAGGCUGCCUCCUCCCCUCCCUCCCUCCUAUGUAUACUAGAGGUAUUGAGGGUUUUUGAGACACAACUUUGCCACGUGCUGCUCGACCCUAUACCACGCAGUUUUUCCUCUAGAUCGUAUUUCUAUGGAGCUUAGGCGAAGCCCUGCCGGAGUAGAUCAUCACCACCACCGGUGCGCCGUCACGCUGCCGGAGAACUCUUCUACCUCUCCGCCCCUCUUGCUGGAUCAAGAAGGUGGGGAUCGUCAUCGAGCUGUACGUGUGCUGAACGCGGAGAUGCCGUCCGUUCGGCACUAGAUCGGAACGGAUCAUGAGACGGAUCGCAAGACGGUUCGUGCGACGGAUCGCGAGACGGUUCAUGGGACGGAUCGUGAGACGGUUCGUGGGACGGUUCGCGGACGGUUCAUGGGACGGUUCGUGGGGCUGAUCGAGGGACGUGAAGACGUUCCACUACAUCAACCGCGUUUCUUAAACGCUCCCUGUUGUGCGAUCUACAAGGGUACGUAGAUCCAAUUCUCCUCUCGUAGAUGGACAUCACCAUGAUAGGUCUUCGUGUGCGUAGGAAAUUUUUUGUUUCCCAUGCAACGUUCCCCAACACACGGGUCGGCGGAGAGAAAAGGGGAUUGAGGGAGGGGAAGGCUCAUGCACGUGGUUGCAGGUGGCGAACUCGAGGGCGAGCUGGUCGGUGGUGUCGGCGGAGAAGAGGCCGCCGAAGUCGUGGCUGUCGGCCGCGGCAGCGCCGAAGUGGUUCUCUAAGACGGAGAGGUUGGGAAUUCGAGCAUGAGCAGGUCUGUGGUGUUGGUGGAGAAGAGGCCGUCAAAUUUGUCGCUGCACGCGGCCGGCCGCGGCGGUGCCGAAGUGGUUCUGGAGGGAAGAGAACGGAGAUGUUGGGAAUCAUCGCGCCGAUGGCAUGGAUGUGUAGCGGAGUAGGCGAAAAAUUGAGAUUUUUCUCUCUUUCUCUUUCUUGUGGGUCUUGUCUCGCACGUGAAGCCCUCUGCUUAUAGAAGGAUUGGANNNNNNNNNNNNNNNNNNNNNNNNNNNNNNNNNNNNNNNNNNNNNNNNNNNNNNNNNNNNNNNNNNNNNNNNNNNNNNNNNNNNNNNNNNNNNNNNNNNNAUCACCAACUUUGGUUGGAAGUGCCACUUGGCUACAUGAGCUAGUAGUGUAUCCCAACAUGAUGAAGGUGAUCUUGACAUAAAUGAAAAAGGGGGUUUGAAGAGAGCAAAAUAAUAAGUUUUUCAUGGGUUUGAGUCAUCAAACAAGCAAGCAUACACUCAAACAAUGGCAGACAUAGCACUCACAACAUUAUUUGAAAAAGUUUUAACAAGCUCUGAUUUUUGCAACACAGAAAACUUGGGGUGAAAAACAGGGUGUGACAUAACGACCUGGCUAAGAUUGGUUUAGCCAAUGGUCAGCCUGGCUCUCAUACCAAGGUUGUAGCGACGUGUUUUUCGAAAAAUAAUUUCCAGAAAGCAUGUCUCUGUGUUUACCAGCCAUAGGAUUGUUGUUAGCUGGUGGACACUUACUUGAUACAGACUAUCCAAGCAAAAUUACAAAAUCUGGGUUACAAGACCAUGAAGGUCUACUAGGUGGAACAAAAGUGUGAGGUUGACGGCGGAAGCGACUCGAGGAAUCUCCAGUGCCCAUGGGACUCCAUUCCCACAGGAACAGCUGACCUGGAUAAAUUCCUAUCUCACAAGGUUGCUAUCCUUGAAUCCUAGGUUCCGGGGCUGACAGCAUCGUGCUCCUCUCUGAACGCAAUCUGGCCAAGACAAUAGCCAGGGACAAGCCAGUGAGUACUUUGAAUGUACUCGCAAACAUCAAGAAAACAAAAACGUUAAGCAGGUGAGAUGCAUGCAAAUUCCAUAAACAAUUAUAUCAUGUCAUUAGAGUUUAACUCAUGAAUGUAUUAAUGAAGAUAUGCAAUGUUUUCACCAAUGCUUUAUAAACAAGCAAAAGACAAUAAUAAUGAGUAAUAUGCUUGCAAAAGUCGGGCGUCAGAGCGACACCACAGAAAGGGCUUAAGAUAUGACAAUAAGCAUGUCUUGGUCGGGCGUCUGAGCGACACGAUAGAAAGGGCUUAUAAGAAAUGAUAAUAAGCAUGCCACAGUCGGGCGUCUCAGCGACACCACAUAAGGGGCUUAUAUGAAACAAUAAACAUGCCACAGUCAGGCGUCUUAGCGACACCAUAGGAAGGGCUUAUAAGAAACAAUAAUAAAUAUCGAAUAUCCAUGAGGUAGAACCGUCCCACGGAUAUCCAACAACAUAAUCGUAGGGUUAGUCCAGAGUAAUAAUGAUAAUAUGAUCAUGUCCCACAUCAUCAUAUGAUUUGCCACAUCCAUUAUUAUUAUCACCGUUUAUACUCCAAAGACCGACACUAGGACCGACACUUGACUCGUCAAACAACGUCCUUGACCGGGGACACGGCUACUCGAAUAGUUUUGACUCUGGAUAGGGUGUACUCUUUACCCACAGCUCACGGUUUUCGAUAGUCCACAAGACUAAUCCUGCGUACGGCAUUUUAGAAGCGGAACUCAGAAUCAGCACACACCGAUUUUUCCUCCGCGAAGCCCGGCUUCAGCCGGACUACGCUGCCAAGACAAAACCAUAAGACGGGGAGGCUCCGACCUCGACUAGCAUGGGAUCAAAAAUUUAUACCACGCGCUCACUUGGAAGGGCCAUUGCCUCCCGGUCCCAGACCGGGAACACCCAUGCCCCAUGACCGGAUCACUGGAUUUAUUCCAGGGCCAUGGAUACCUUCAUACCGGCCCCUCUACUUGGUGUGUGACUGAUAAUAGGUCUACAACUGACUUUACCGAAUCCAUUAUCCAGGAAACUGUGGUAGCACGUUAUAGAAGUAUGACACAGACAAGACUCGAUCUAGGCCGAUAUUGGAGUUAACCAAGUUUUACCGGCAUCAUCGUGCACAUGUCAUGACCAGGUCAUAACCUAUCACGUUCCGCGUGACUAGGCUAUUCCACGACCUUUCAUAACUAGCACAUGACAUCAUGAUGUUUCACCAUUGUUAUAAUAUGAGUAGCAUGUAUGAAGAAUGCAAGGUAUUAUUUCAUGUGAUAUUAUUAUCAACAUAACCUCAAAUCACGCAAUAUAUGCACCACCGCAAUCAUUACACAACUUAUGCACAUAUGGAUUCAAGAUGCUUGCCUUAGGGUUUGAGGAGGGUGAUGUGUACCCCAUAUCUUGGAGUAGGUACUCCUCUCUUCAAAUCCUAUUUUAAAAAAUACUUGAAUUAACACACAUAUUCAAAACAGCACACAAAAGUUGUUUGAAUAAUUUUGAAAUAAAUCUUAAAAUAAACUAGAUGAAAUUCUAAACAGGUAGGAAAAAGAAUCAAUUGAUUUGGAGUUUCCUAUAAAAAUUAUAGCGAGUCAAACUUUCUGGUCAAAUCUGUUUUUAAAAUCAAAACUAAAAGAAAACGUUUCGGGCAAACUACACUUUCCCGCAGAGAAGACCUAUUCACCCUAACGGCUACGCACGAAUGCGCUUUACUUAAAAGAAAACGCAACAGGGGGGUUUGCGCCACUCGGGGCAUGGCUCGCCUAUCGACAGGCGGGGCCCGCUUGUCGGGUCCUUCUCCCACCUCCCGCGCGAGCGUGGCACAGGGCACCUCCCGUCAUGCUCCGACUAUGUACACGCUCGUGGGAGUGAGCCGCAUCCAUUUUUUGCGGUUAGAGGCGCGACAGAGCUCGGGGCUGAGCGGGGCUUCAACAAUGGCGGAAGGAGCUUCGGCCAUCCUGCAUCCUUGACCUCAGGUGGUUCCCGUCCAUGCACGACGAUGGGAAUGUGUUUCCUAGAGUCGGGUAGGGGGCUAGGAGUGGUCUUGGGAGGAGGAGAGGGGCUUGGGGCUGCCGGAAUCGAGCAGGAGGUCGACGGCGGCGCUACUGUCACACACGAGCAGAGAAACGGCUCCGGCUAAAUCAAGGUGAAGGGGAGGAAGCUCUGGUCCUAUGGGGGGUUGCCUAAUCCUCAAGGGGGCUCGGGGCUGUGUUAUAUAGCCGAGGCUGAGUCCGUUCAUCAGGGCUUCGGAUAAGACCGACGACGGCAAGCUAUGGCAAUGACUCGGGCGCAACAGGAGCGGCGGUAGGGCGAAGCAGGGGUAGCAAGGCAGCGAGCAGCAGCAGGGGGAAGCAAGGCAGGGGAGGGACCGCGACCAGCUGGCGAUCGGAGGAGGCUUGGGCGGCACCGUCCGUGGCAGCAGCAAAGAAGGAGCCACGGCUUUCGCGCUGUCGUUGCAUUGUUCGUGCACAAGGUGACGAUCGACGGUUGGGGAGGGUUGGACUCGGCUCUACAAUAGACCAAAAGGGCGAGGGCGUGGGGACGCGGUGGCUCGGCACGCGCGCGUGCAAAACGUGCGCUUUGGUGCACCCAGAUCGUGCACGCAAGGUGCUCGACGCAUUGCCAAUCACUCACAACGACCUCCACAACAGCGCAAACAAAACAGGGUCAUGUUAUGGAUCAAAACCAACCUCCUACACAUCUUGGUUGGGCUGGAUCAUCAACUCCACAAUGCAGGUUCAAAGUCAUGCCAAUUUUGGUCAUGCUCCAAAAGUGCUUGAUGAAAUGCCACGGGCUCCAAAUGAUCUUUGAUGCCUACCAAAAUCUCCAGAUCAGGGUCUCUCGGUGCUACAAAUGGUGGUAGGGUUAGUUUGGCAAAAAGAAAAACCAGCUAAUGCAAUAUUUAAAAAAAACAUUUCUGGACAGAAACUUGAAGCUAUUAUCACAUGCACUUACUUUCAUCCAAUGGGGCCCAACUCUUGGGGUUAAGGUUUUUGGUAGGGUUCCAUACAAGCAUGCAAAAUAUCAAGGUAAUUAGAGCAAGGAAAAAUAGGAUUGUAGUGAAAAUCAUCAAUCUGGACCAGAACAGAAAAAUGAAUAUUCUGCUAAACUUUUAUAAAGCACAUAGUGGGGGUUUUGCAUAAACAUGAAUCUCAUGUUAUACUUGACAUCCCCAAUUAUUUAUGGAAUUUUUGAUAGAUUAAUUCUAGGGGUUGUAGUACAAACUCAAAUCUGGACCAGAUUAGAAAGCAGUGAAUGUGCUCAAAAUAUUCAAAACACUUGGGUAGGUUUUUGCAUAAAUGUGAUCGAGGGACAUCACGGAUCAUCUCCAAAAUUUUAUAAUUUUUUUAGAAGUGAUCACAAGGUUGUAGUGCAAAACANNNNNNNNNNNNNNNNNNNNNNNNNNNNNNNNNNNNNNNNNNNNNNNNNNNNNNNNNNNNNNNNNNNNNNNNNNNNNNNNNNNNNNNNNNNNNNNNNNNNCUUCAUCUUCUGAGCGUGGGAUCUCCACUGAGUCAACUUCAUGUUGAAGAUGUUUGACUAUAGUUUUCAAGUGAGUAACCUUCACAUCCAUGUCAUGAAACUUUGUUUCCACGACUCUCUCAAGGCUUUUCUGACUUUGCAGUAUCUCGUGAAUGUUCUUCUCCAUACCUUGGACAGUGCUAACUAGAAAUGCCAUUUGCUCAGCUUGAGUUAUGAGUUCUGGAACUGGAGGUGGCCUAUUUCUAGCAGCCUCAACUUCUAGUGCCUCUGUUGCCAUUCUUGUUGCAGCUGAGUUAGGAUCAUUUCAUCCAUUACCACUUCAUUGUCUUCAAACUCUGGCUAAAGAGGUAGAUCGGGACGAUCAAGUCGAUAUGCAUGCUUGGCUAGCUUGCAUUGAUAAGCAUUUGAAUGUAAGGAGCAUAUCCACAUGAUCUCUUCUGAUCCGCAGCAGUUCUCCGGAUAGUCUCUACUAUCAAAUCCAUCACUUGAAUUUGGUAUGGGUGUCUAGCAGGUGCAGCAGGUUGAUGGAAUGUCCUCUAAUCAUCUUCUCAUCUCCUGAUUUAGGCAUCAGGGUGUAUCUCAGAAUAGUGUUUGUUGUAGGAAUGCCUGCUUGCAGAAAGUACACUGAACCCAUCUUGUGACUAGCCAAGUACUUGUGUGGAGUUGUCUUGUACAUAUUGGCCAUUGAGUUGUGACUCCGCUCUGCUUCAACAUAAACAUCUACAUCUCGAUCUUCCUGCUUGAGGGCACCAAUGAUAGCAGCCCAUUCAGUAAAUGUGGCUUCAUACUUGUGACCAUCAGUCGUCCAGACUAAAGAAUCAUCAUAGAAAUGAACGGUUGCAUAGAAUUGCAUGAUCAGCUCGUCAUUCCAUGGGGUCAUAUAUUUGCCAACAAACUUUUCAAUGUCCACUAGUCUAAAGUUCUCUUGGACAUGGGGAAAGAAAUUCUCAUUUUCUUUGAUAUAUGCCCAGUCGACAUACCUCAUAUCACUGACAGCAAGACUCUUGUCAAACAAGACACUCUCAUAAAAAUCUUGUUGUUCCUUGGUGUGAAACCUUGGAUCAACAACAGUUCUUUUUCUGACGGCAUAUGGAUCAUUAGCUCUCCACUUCCUUAGUAUGACAUCCUUCCUCUUCUUCAUAUAUUCUUCUACUGGAUGAGCAGCAUUGUGAAUAGGAAGAGUUGGUCUGAGCUUCCGUAGAAUUGGCGCAUUCUCAUCUUCUUGCUCCUAUGCAGCAUGGGUGCUGGAUGCAGGGCCUUUUCUCUUUGCAGCUGCAGGUAUGUCCUUGGUAGUCCUUUUGGGAGCUACAACCUUCUUUGCUUUGGCAGGAGGCUUAGGAGAAGAUUUCAUAGCAUUAGCCAUCAGCUUCUUCUUCUUGGGAGGAACUAGGAUCUCCUCAGGAGUUUCUUCCUCGACAUCUUCUGGGUCUUCAUACAUUGAAGUCUUUCUCUCAACAAGAUGAACAAUUCUCUUCCUGGUCCUCUUCACACCAGCCUUCCUCGCACGUACAUCCUUGGAAAGUGUUGUGCUCUUCCUGGCAUAUUCAGGUGCUCUCAGAUCAGCAGGGGUAGCAGUUACUUUCCUGACAGUUUUCCUUGGAGCCUUUGAAGGAGCUGAAGUUUCCUCUCGCAUAAAAUCUGAGUCCUCUUGAUCACAAACUAGCUUCUUCCUUUGCCUGGUGGUUGCCUUGGGAUAACCAUGAGAGCUGGGAGAACUUGGGUCUGAAGCACAAUUCUCUGGACUAGUGUCUGAGUCCACCUCAAUACUCCACUCUCUGAAGUCAUUUUGUCUAUCUUCUGAACCAGACAUUUCUGACAUGCAAACACAAUCUCGGCAGCAAACAAUAAAUCCUGUGAAGUGGAUAUAGGAAGGACAGAAAGGAUGAGCAUCACAAAAUUCAGAUUUUUUUUAAAUUUGAAAAGAGAAAUCCUUAGUUUUAACUUUUUUAAUAACACAUAUCGGUGGAACCGAGUUAGAACUUCCGGAGUCUCCGAGAGACAUGAACUCCUUAACAAAAACUUGGUCAUGAUUUUGGUGGAACCGAAAAUGACAACUCGGUCUCACGGAGUCCAUUCUCAGGAACGCUAGGUUCAAAAUCGGUAGCACCGAGUUUUGCAACUUGGAGUCACCGAGAUGGGGUAUGCGGACAGUUAACCCUAAAAACUUCCUAGUUCUCUAAACUACGGGAUUCAUCUGGUGGAUAGAGAGGUUUCACACACCGGCUUGUGGAUAAAAAUUUCCCAUUGCGUAUGAAUCAGAUGGAGGGACGCACACGGGGUCCGAACUAUACCCUAGCUUGGCGGUGGUCCGGCUACGAUGGUGACGGUGGUGAAGAUUCUGUCGACGGCGGCGAUUCCCAUCGACGGAGAAGCACGGGAACUCAAGGGAGACAACCAGGGGUCCAGGAGGCAGCUUAGGGUUUGAGGUGAAAUGGCUUUGACGAUUGGAAAUUGAAGAACCUGUCCGCUCGAAUAUAUACCCAUUCUCUAUCGGUUUCAUCAAGAUUACGAAGUCGGUGUCACCGAGUUCCUCUGCUGUCAGCUGACAAGGAAACUCGGUGGAACCAAGUUGGUGAUUCCGGUGGUACCGACAUGGAAAACCUAGAUCAACUCUAGAAUUCGGUGGAGCCGAGUUUGUAAAGUUGGUUUCACCGAGUUCAUUCACAGAGAGGUUUUGUAGGUCAGCCAUUGAUGAUAUGGAACUCCGAGUGCUCCUUCACACACAGGGAUCAACAAGUGCUUUUUCAAGUUUUGUGAUGAAGCAUGAAUAGAACUUGAGAUGAGAUAGCUAGAGAAGAGUCCUAGGCAUUCUUGACCAUCCAAUUGGCAAAAGAUAAAUCAAGAGCCAAAUAACAAUAAUCGGAUGUCCUCGAAUGAUCAAACACAUGCAGACCAACAUGCUCACACAAUAAGAAUGACAGAGAAAAACAGGGUGAACAUGCACAAACAUACUAGUAGCUAUCAAGCACUUGGGUGAUGACAAAGUCAUCUAUAUAUGAGUAUAUUGACAUAGGAGCCAAGUAAGAAUACUUGAUCAUAGGUCAUACUCAUCAUUAAGCACAAGUGGGGUACCACUUUUACAUAAGCAUUGAUGUGUUCAUAUCCUUAGGAGAUGCUUAUACCCAAGUCUUAGAGUAAAGCUCCCCCUUUAUAUGGCAUCCCCACUAGGAGGGAUCAACUAACCUUGGGUUUUGUCGUUGAAGACUUCAAGUAGUUGAAGUAGUGGUGGAUGCUCAAAGUCGAUGAAGAUCAUCUUGAGUUGGGAGCAGUUCUUGUUGUUUUCAUACUCUUCUCACCUACAUGGGUUAGUUCCAAAGCACGAGGAACACAUGCAAGAAUGUCUAUGGACAUGGAGUGAAACAUAAAUGGGAUGAUGUCCAAAGAUGCAUUAAUUACCUUGUUCCUUGCUUACCUUUGAGGGAAUGUGUGACUCCUUGAACUAAUGCAUAUGAUUGAGGUUGAUUGCAAAUAGUUCUUGCCAAAAUGAAUAGGAGUGAAUUUCAUUGGAGGAGCCACCCCUAUUGGGGAUCCACAUCAAAUUGAUGGGAAUCCUUGGAGUUGUGGUAGCACUUGUUGAGGUAGAGCUAGUAGUUUCCUUGGGAACCCACUUGACCUUGGCUUGGGGUUCUUCUUCAAAUAGGUCAAUGUCAUCUUGAAGCUUUCCCUUGCCUUUGUGGUCUUGUGGUAGAAGGACAUCUUGUGAGCUUGUUCCUUCGGGAGGAGUGGAAUCACGCUUCUCCUCUUGGGGAACAAACUUAGGAGUGGGAUAUGGACCUUCUUCCCAAACAUCUCCGUUGAUGUUGAAGUAGCCAACACCUUGUUUCUUCCGAUGUCCUCCUUGCUUGCGCACAAUUUCCUCGAAUUUUUUUACUUCCGGCAAGGCUCUUGAAGAAAUCUUUCUCUAUAAUCCCUUUCAAUAGAUCAUUUUGUUGCUCAAGUGUAACUUGGCUAAGAGAAUCGUUAGUGGAAUCAAUAGAGAUACUAGCAACAACAUUAUUGGUUUUACCCUUAGCAUGGUUGUUACUAGAUGAAGAAACAUUCUUCCCUUUGUUACUAGUGUUCCUAUGUUUAACUUGUGGAACAAAGUUGCACAAGAGUAAUCGUUUGGCAAGAUAAGAAGAACUCUUCUUUCGAAGAUCAUGAUUGAUCGCUUUUAACAACUCAUGCUCUUUAUCCAAGUUGAGCUUCUCGAAGCGUAGCUUCUCAUGGAUUCUUGCAAGCUCUCUAUGAUAUUCUAGAGUAGUCUCAUGAGCUAACUUAAGAGUUUUUAAUUCUUGAGUUAGUCGUUCAAUUUCUUUAUUAUCAUCAUCAUUCGAUUUCUCUUGACUAGCAUGAUAAAUAUCAAGUUCAUUUUUAGUGUAAUCCCUAGUUUUAUCAAGGAGCAAGUCAUCUUCUCCUAAUUAGUCAUCCUCAUCACUAUUAAAAUCAAGAUACUCGGGAUGUGAUACCUUGGGGCCUUUAGCUAUGAAGCAGUUUUCGACUCCCUCAUUUGGUGAAUCAAAUAAGUCGUAGGAGUUGGUGGAAACAAGUGCAAUCCCGGCAACACCUUCAUCUUGACUAUAGUCGGAGUGGGAGUGAUAGCUUCUCUCGGAGUGGUGAUCAGACUUGGAGCCAGACACCCAUUCACCAACUUGAGCUUAAUGUCUUCUUCUUGAACUGCUCUUGGUGUAUUUGUCCUUCUUCUCCGAUUCCUUGCCUCUCCGUGAGUGUCUUUGUUCAUAGUGAUCUUUUGUACUCCUUCUCUCUCUCCGAGGUGACUCAUCUCUUGAGAUUCGUCUUCGAGGUGACUCUUCCCUUCUUUUGUAGGGAGCCGAACACUCAUUUGAGUAGUGUCCGGGCUUCCCACAAUUGUAGCAGUUUCGGUCACGACUGGAUGAACACUUCUCUUCAUGUCUCGAUCUUGAGCUUCUCUCUUUGCCUCUACUCUUAUAGAACUUGUUGAAUUUUCUGACCAUGAGGCUUAUCUCUUCAUUGGUGACAAGAUUGUCCUUUGAGGUAGCGGGAGCAUCACAUGAAGCUUUAUAAGCACCGCUUGACUUGUUGUGCAGUUCAUCUUUGUCCUUGAGUGACAUCUCAUGAGCAACAAUCCUACCAAUGACCUCAAUUGGCUUGAGAUCUUUGUAAUUUAGCAUCAUUUGGAUCAAUGUGCACACUGUGUCACACUUUCCAUCGAGAGCUCUAAGUAUCUUAUUGAUGAUGAAUUUGUCGGUCAUACCUUCGCUUCCUAAGCUGGCAAUCUCAUUGGUGAUGAGAACUAGCCUAGAGUACAUUUCAGCGACUCCUUCACCAUCCUUCGUCUUGAACUUUUCAAGUUGACUUUUUAGCACAUCCAACUUAGAUUCCCUGAAAGAUUCGAUACCUUCGUGCAUAUCAACCAAAGUAUACCAAAUUCCUUUGCAUUUUCAAGAUGACUUAUCUUGUUGAACUCUUUGAGGCAUAGGCAGUUGAAUAGAAUGUUCCAUGCUUGAGCGUUGUAUUGCAACAUCUUAAAUUCUUCUGCAGUCGCUUCAUGAUCCGGUUCCUUUCCAUCACCAAAGAAUUCACCUUGCAAGUCAACACUAACCACAACCCAAAGGAUGGUGUUAUGACCAAGAAUAUGAAUUUUCAUUUUAUGCUUCCAACUAGCAAAGUUUUUACCAUCAUAAUAUGGACCUCUACGAUGACAAUUUCCCUCAUUAGACACCAUUCUCUCAUUGGUUGUGAAACUAAAGCAAUGGAGGCCAAAGCUCUAAUACCACUUUUAGGAUCCAANNNNNNNNNNNNNNNNNNNNNNNNNNNNNNNNNNNNNNNNNNNNNNNNNNNNNNNNNNNNNNNNNNNNNNNNNNNNNNNNNNNNNNNNNNNNNNNNNNNNCAGAAACUGCACUAUAAUUCUUGAGAUGGGUUGAAAGAAGAAGGCAAGUAACCUGCAACCAAAUAAGAGGAUGGCAUAAUUGCUAGUGAGGCCUGACCCGAAAACUAAGUUGCACUCUUACCUGCCCCUAUUCUGUACAUACUGGAAAAAGUGUCCAACCAGGAGCAUAUUCAAAAAAUCUAUAACUCCUUGAAAGAAGGCACUUCUCCAUAGUAACCAAGCAAGUAUGUCACAUAGAGAAGGAUUACUACUAAUCUAAAAUAGAGUAACUAUAUUUGAGAAAACAAUUGCCUCAUGCUCAAAACACAUUAAUAGGUCAUCGAAUUAAGAAAAAAGCGGCAUGGUCGAACAUAUCAGGAACUUUUUCCACAAAAGGGCCUCGGUCUACCAAGCCAUACUAUAAAAGCAGAAACAAGCAAACACUUGAGAAGGUGCACAUAAAUUUAACUACAUGGCAUAAAAUAACAUAAGCUCACCAUCUAACAACAGGGGCCUACACCGGUAAAUAAUUAUACAGAAAAUAUUAUGUAUACAGAUAUGAUGAUAUAUAACCCUAUUUGAUUAUUCCAUUUGAGGUAAUGCUAAGAAGCGCACAUGGAGCCGUCUCUUUCUUUUCUGAAAACAAAUAACAGGAUCAUCUUCGGUCAGAAGUGCACACAGCAAUCAUGCAUCAGUUGAUAAAUAAUAAAGGAGUACUCGGGGAUAUUAAAAAAAAACAUGGGCUCUUUAACCUGCCCCACAGAAACUGCACUAUAAUUCUUGAGAUGGGUUGAAAGAAGAAGGCAAGUAACCUGCAACCAAAUAAGAGGAUGGCAUAAUUGCUAGUGAGGCCUGACCCGAAAACUAAGUUGCACUCUUACCUGCCCCUAUUCUGUACAUACUGGAAAAAGUGUCCAACCAGGAGCAUAUUCAAAAAAUCUAUAACUCCUUGAAAGAAGGCACUUCUCCAUAGUAACCAAGCAAGUAUGUCACAUAGAGAAGGAUUACUACUAAUCUAAAAUAGAGUAACUAUAUUUGAGAAAACAAUUGCCUCAUGCUCAAAACACANNNNNNNNNNNNNNNNNNNNNNNNNNNNNNNNNNNNNNNNNNNNNNNNNNNNNNNNNNNNNNNNNNNNNNNNNNNNNNNNNNNNNNNNNNNNNNNNNNNNACUACGAUGAGACAUUUGCUCCUAUAUGGCCCAGAUGAACACUUUUUGCACACUUUUCGAUGUCCUUCUGUUUGCCAACAUAGGCUCUCUCUCUGUCUCAGCUCGACGUCAGCAAUGCCUACAUGUAGCCAACACUUGGGUAUUCUUUUCCACCUGGCAUGGUUUGUCGCCUUCGGCGUUCUCUAUAUGGUCUUAAGCAAACCCCUCAUGCCUGGUUUGAGCGUUGUCUCUGUGGUUAAUGUGGCUCGUUUUUCAACUAGUGCUCAUGAUCUUGCAUGAUUCUUAAGUACAUUGUCUUUGUGAAGGCUCGUCACAGUGAGUUUCUUAUGUCUGACCUUGGUCCUCAUCGCUACUUCCCAGAGUCUACAUUUGAUGGCUUCUUUAUUUGCUAAGAGAAGUAUAUCCAGGAUGUUUUUGCUCCUGCUGAUCUUAUUGACAAGCGUACUAUUGAGACUCAUAUGGAGUCAACAUCCACGUUUUUGGGUCCACCUCCGCUCCCUGCCAAUUGGAUGGGCAUCCUUUGCCUUGCUGUGGGUUGCUAUGUGAACUGUCUCAAUCCCACAUCCCGUGUUCCCUUUAAGGGCGACACCAGAGCUCGGACAGUCGAUGCAUACCUGGAUUAUGCACGGCAAGCCGAGGACACGGCGCUACCUAAAGCCAGGGUCAAGGGCGCACUGUAGGAGAACGUGGGGUGCUUAAUCAAGUGUGUGGCACACAACCUGCAAACAGGAGAAGCACACCAAACCGGAUCGGCGGGUAACGGAGAGCGCACAGGCACUUAGGAUGCUGGAUCAAGUGACUCCGCUGCUACAGCCGCUAGUCUCUCCACCUCUUUUACCUUGUCUACCAGUUAUGCUUAGAAGUGACAUCGUCGCCUAGGGUCACUUGUGUGGCUCUCAUCUCGCAUCCUUAGUUUGACGUGGUCUUCUUGGAUCAGUCUCCGACGAUGUCUCUAAACUGUCUGGGUUGUCGGCUUAGUAAACAGCUAUAGUUACCUUAUGCUCAUAGUGAGACAGUGUCUCAACAUCCUUUCAACCUUGUUCACUUUGAUGUCUGGGGUCCAUCUCCUUUCGCCUCGAAAGGAGGUCAUCGCCAGUACUAUAUGUAUAGAUGACUUCUCUCAACACACCUGGAUAUACUUUAUUUCCUUCCGUAGGGAGGUCUUAUCUGUGAAAGUGUUUUGCUUCCAUGGUUCACACCAAGUUCUCUACGCCUAUUCUUGUAUACUGUGAUGACUCUGGUGGACAAUAAAUAUCCAAGAUGUCGCGUUCAAUCCUUGUUGAGCAGGGUGCUCUUGCUCAGUUCUCUUAUCCUGGUGCUCAUGCUCAGAAAUGGCAUGGCUAAGGGCAAGCAUCGUCAACUAUUGAGACGGGUCGUAGGUUCAAUGUCAAUUCUCUCUCUUCCGCCACACUGUUGGAUGGUCACUGCCUCUCUUACGCCACACUUUUGGGUUGAAUGCGUCUCCACUUCCACCAUGGUCAUCUCCUUCCGAGAGUCUAUUUGAUCGUUUCCAUAUUAUUCAGCGCUUCAAUUGUUUAGUUGUGUUUGAUGUGCCCUUACUACCUCUCGUGAAUUUACCAAACUUACUACUUAGUUUGUUGAGUGUUCAUAGGAUACAACAAUGAGCAUAAGAGAUCCUGUUGUUAGGAUCAUGUUGGUCAUUGGGUGACUAUUUCUCACGGUAUGACUUUUAGUGAGUCCAGUCCCUUCUACGUGUGACCAUCAUCCCCGACCUUUUCAGUGGAGGGUGUGUUACCUCACUUUUCCUGACACUCCUAUCACAAUUGUUGAGCCCCAAUCCAUUCCUCGUACCGCUCCUGCUUCUCCAAUUAUUAAAGAUUCAGCACCAUCAUCUCCUAUGAUUUCCUCACUUCGCUUAUGAUGGGAUUCUAAACUUUCAUCACCGGUGACUUCCUUGUCUCCAUAACCUAAGUUUAUCUCGAGGAUUCUUGCUCGUAUUCUUCCACAUUUGACUCACUUUUAUACGCGUCGUUCGUGUGUUGUGGAUGCAUCUACUGAUGUGCCAUCUUCUCCAUCUCGACCUUCUUAUGGCUUGCGACCUCAUCCACUUUUGCCUGUUGACCGCCUUAGGCUAUGAAACGUUGGCGCUACUUUCUUGAGCAGACUUCUUAUCUUGAUGUUAUUCAUACCAAAUGGCGCCUUGCCAUGGUAGAGGAUAUUGCUACUGUUGAGCACAUCAGCACAUGGGAUAUUGUAUCCCUUCCUCCUCGUGUUCAUCCCAUUUUUUUCGAGAAAACGCAGAGAUAUGCGUUUCUUUGUAUUGAAAAGAGGGAAAGUCAGCCUCCGAGGAGACGAUUACAGCAGGUUACAAGUAAUUUAAUGGACAUCCCAGGAUGGGGGCAAGACUACCCUAAGCCCCUCGUCCCCGGCUCUAGCCCAACACCUCAUCUCAUCUU